GCUGGUGUAACUCAGGGGUAGAGUAACUGAUUUGUAAUCAGUUUGUCGGGGGUUCGAAUCCCUCCACCAGCU
rnacentral:tRNA from 1 species